CUACGGGAGGCACCAGCUGCGAAACCUCCACAAUGCACGCAAGUGUGAUGGGGGGAUUCCGAGUGCUCAGGGAAUACCUGGGCUUUUUACAAGGGCAAAAACCUUGUAGAAUAAGUGGUGGGCAAGACUGGUGCCAGCCGCCGCGGUAACCCCAGCGCCACAAGUGGGAACCACUAUUAUUGGGUCUAAAGCAUCCGUAGCCGGUCUUGCAAAUACCCUGUGAAAUCGUCUCGCUUAACGAGGCGGCGUGCAGGGUAGACUACAAGACUAGGGACCAGGUGAGGUGAGCGGUAUUCCGUGGGGAGCGGUAACAUGUGAUAAUCCUCGGAGGACCACCAAUGGCGAAGGCAGUUCACCAAAAUGGAUCCGACGGUGAGGGAUGAAAGCUAGGGGAGCGAUCCGGAUUAGAUACCCCCGUAGUC
rnacentral:rRNA from 1 species